AACCCAUGGUGAGGGAGUCGUCUCAAUUAAUCCUUAUACCUCUCUCAUGCAUCAUAUAAGGUCUCUAAGUCGAUUUGAAAGAAGGAAGAGAUAUCAUUCCUUAACUU
rfam:Gossypium raimondii chromosome 11, whole genome shotgun sequence.